GGAGCACAUAAAAGUCAACACAUGAACAAGAACAUACUCAGAGACUGAGCCUUCCUGCUUUCCUGAAUGGAGAAUUUCAAAGAUCCACUGUUCACUGGGUAAGGAUGUUUGUCCUCAUCAGUCCUGAAUAGACAACCGCUUACUUGGAGACCCCUGAAAGAUAUACUUCAGCCACUAUAAAUCCAAGUCAUAACCCACAUAUUUAACAGAAGCACAUAUGUGAAUAUCAGCCUAUGAUAUUCCAACCAAUAAAAUGAAUCGCUGGAAGAUGGUGGCCUACACAUGACCCAUUUCCCCAUUUGUCCUCAGCAUGUGAUAUUUUGCAGUACGAAUAUUGAAGACAAAUAACUCCCUUAAUCAUUGUGAGAAAAAUUAACA